UCGGGAAAGGAUGAGCCCGCGUUGGAUUAGCUAGUUGGUGGGGUAAAGGCCUACCAAGGCGACGAUCCAUAGCUGGUCUGAGAGGAUGAUCAGCCACAUUGGGACUGAGACACGGCCCAAACUCCUACGGGAGGCAGCAGUGGGGAAUAUUGGACAAUGGGCGCAAGCCUGAUCCAGCCAUGCCGCGUGAGUGAUGAAGGCCCUAGGGUUGUAAAGCUCUUUCACCGGUGAAGAUAAUGACGGUAACCGGAGAAGAAGCCCCGGCUAACUUCGUGCCAGCAGCCGCGGUAAUACGAAGGGGGCUAGCGUUGUUCGGAAUUACUGGGCGUAAAGCGCACGUAGGCGGAUUGUUAAGUGAGGGGUGAAAUCCCAGGGCUCAACCCUGGAACUGCCUUUCAUACUGGCAAUCUAGAGUCCAGAAGAGGUGAGUGGAAUUCCGAGUGUAGAGGUGAAAUUCGUAGAUAUUCGGAGGAACACCAGUGGCGAAGGCGGCUCACUGGUC
rnacentral:rRNA from 1 species